AGUGAACGCUGGCGGUAGGCCUAACACAUGCAAGUCGAACGGCAGCACAGUAAGAGCUUGCUCUUACGGGUGGCGAGUGGCGGACGGGUGAGGAAUACAUCGGAAUCUACUUUUUCGUGGGGGAUAACGUAGGGAAACUUACGCUAAUACCGCAUACGACCUACGGGUGAAAGCAGGGGAUCUUCGGACCUUGCGCGAUUGAAUGAGCCGAUGUCGGAUUAGCUAGUUGGCGGGGUAAAGGCCCACCAAGGCGACGAUCCGUAGCUGGUCUGAGAGGAUGAUCAGCCACACUGGAACUGAGACACGGUCCAGACUCCGACGGGAGGCAGUGGGGAAUAUUGGACAAUGGGCGCAAGCCUGAUCCAGCCAUACCGCGUGGGUGAAGAAGGCCUUCGGGUUGUAAAGCCCUUUUGUUGGGAAAGAAAAGCAGCAGGUUAAUACCCCGCUGUUCUGACGGUACCCAAAGAAUAAGCACCGGCUAACUUCGUG
rnacentral:rRNA from 1 species